GAAGGAAGAAAGCACGGUAAUAUGCACAAAAAUUAAUUUGGGUCUCUAGGUCUGCCCUCUUUAAUGCCUUUCAGCUUUGAUUUCAAGGCAUGGUUCCACAGCAAAAUG